rnacentral:rRNA from 1 species
CCUGGCUACAGGACGAACGCUGGCGGCGUGCUUAACACAUGCAAGUCGAGCGAUGAAGCUUCUUCGGAAGUGGAUUAGCGGCGGACGGGUGAGUAACACGUGGGUAACCUGCCUCGUAGAGGGGAAUAGCCUUCCGAAAGGAAGAUUAAUACCGCAUAAGAUUGUAAUAUCGCAUGAUAUAGCAAUUAAGGAGUAAUCCGCUAUGAGAUGGACCCGCGUCGCAUUAGCUAGUUGGUGAGGUAACGGCUCACCAAGGCGACGAUGCGUAGCCGACCUGAGAGGGUGAUCGGCCACAUUGGGACUGAGACACGGCCCAGACUCCUACGGGAGGCAGCAGUGGGGAAUAUUGCACAAUGGGGGAAACCCUGAUGCCAGCAACGCCGCGUGAGUGAUGACGGUCUUCGGAUUGUAAAGCUCUGUCUUUAGGGACGAUAAUGACGGUACCUAAGGAGGAAGCCACGGCUAACUACGUGCCAGCAGCCGC